GACGGAGGGUGCGAGCGUUGUUCGGAAUUAUUGGGCGUAAAGCGCGUGUAGGCGGCUUGGUAAGUCGGGUGUGAAAGCCCGGGGCCCAACCCCGGAACUGCACUCGAUACUGCCUCGCUAGAGUCCCGGAGAGGAGAGCGGAAUUCCCGGUGUAGAGGUGAAAUUCGUAGAUAUCGGGAGGAACACCAGCGGCGAAGGCGGCUCUCUGGACGGUGACUGACGCUGAGACGCGAAAGCGUGGGGAGCAAACAGG
rnacentral:misc_RNA from 1 species